rnacentral:rRNA from 1 species
GAUGAACGCUGGCGGCGUGCCUAAUACAUGCAAGUCGAGCGAACAGACGAGGAGCUUGCUCCUCUGACGUUAGCGGCGGACGGGUGAGUAACACGUGGAUAACCUACCUAUAAGACUGGGAUAACUUCGGGACACCGGAGCUAAUACCGGAUAAUAUAUUGAACCGCAUGGUUCAAUAGUGAAAGACGGUUUUGCUGUCACUUCUAGAUGGAUCCGCGCCGCAUUAGAUAGUUGGUAAGGUAACGGCUUACCAAGGCAACGAUGCGUAGCCGACCUGAGAGGGUGAUCGGCCACACGAGAACUGAGACACGGUCCAGACUCCUACGGGAGGCAGCAGUAGGGAAUCUUCCGCAAUGGGCGAAAGCCUGACGGAGCAACGCCGCGUGAGUGAUGAAGGUCUUCGGAUCGUAAAACUCUGUUAUUAGGGAAGAACAAAUGUGUAAGUAACUAUGCACGUCUUGACGGUACCUAAUCAGAAAGCCACGGCUAACUACGUG